AGUGAACGCUGGCGGUAGGCCUAACACAUGCAAGUCGAACGGCAGCACAGUAAGAGCUUGCUCUUACGGGUGGCGAGUGGCGGACGGGUGAGGAAUACAUCGGAAUCUACUUUUUCGUGGGGGAUAACGUAGGGAAACUUACGCUAAUACCUCAUACUACCUACGGGUUAAAGCAGGGGAUCUUCGGACCUUUCGCGAUUGAAUGAGCCGAUGUCGGAUUAGCUAGUUGGCGGGGUAAAGGCCCACCAAGGCGACGAUCCGUAGCUGGUCUGAGAGGAUGAUCAGCCACACUGGAACUGAGACACGGUCCAGACUCCUACGGGAGGCAGCAGUGGGGAAUAUUGGACAAUGGGCGCAAGCCUGAUCCAGCAAUACCGCGUGGGUGAAGAAGGCCUUCGGGUUGUAAAGCCCUUUUGUUGGGAAAGAAAAGCAGCAGGUUAAUCCCCCGCUGUUCUGACGGUACCCAAAGAAUAAGCACCGGCUAACUUCGUG
rnacentral:rRNA from 1 species